UACGUAGGGUGCGAGCGUUGUCCGGAAUUAUUGGGCGUAAAGAGCUUGUAGGUGGUUUGUCGCGUCUGCUGUGAAAACCCGAGGCUCAACCUCGGGCCUGCAGUGGGUACGGGCAGACUAGAGUGCGGUAGGGGAGAAUGGAAUUCCUGGUGUAGCGGUGGAAUGCGCAGAUAUCAGGAGGAACACCGAUGGCGAAGGGCAGUUCUCUGGGCCGUAACUGACGCUGAGGAGCGAAAGCGUGGGGAGCGAACAGG
rnacentral:rRNA from 1 species